AACGUAGGUGGCGAGCGUUAUCCGGAUUUACUGGGCGUAAAGGGUGUGCAGGUGGACGGUUAAGUGGUGUAUGAAAUGUCCCAGCUCAACUGGGAGAGGUUAUGCCAGACUGGUCGUCUAGGGUAUGGGAGAAGGAUGUGGAAUUCCGGGUGUAGUGGUGAGAUGCGCAGAUAUCAGGAGGAACACCGAUGGCGAAGGCAGGUCUCUGGGCAUUAACUGACGCUGAGGAGCGAAAGCAUGGGGAGCGAACAGG
rnacentral:rRNA from 1 species